UACGUAGGAGACGAGCGUUGUCCGGAGUUACUGGGCGUAAAGGGUGCGCAGGUGGCGGCGCGCGUGGGGGGUGAAAUCGCCCGGCUUAACUGGGCGGGGGCCUUCCAGACGGCGUGGCUUGAGCAGCGGAGGGGGACGUGGAAUUCCGGGUGGAGCGGUGAAAUGCGUAGAUAUCGGAAGGAACAUCGGUGGCGAAAGCGGCGCGCUGGACCUCUACUGACGCUGAGGCGCGAAAGCCAGGGGAGCAAACGGG
rnacentral:rRNA from 1 species